AGCCUAACCUAUCUCACAAGGGAAAAUAGGAGAAGGAUGGAAGGUUGUAUGUAAACUGCCUUGAGUUGCGAUAAAGAAUGUGAUUUCUGGGUAAGAAUUUCAACCAGGACACAGUGAGGAAUUCAAAAUGGGCAAAUUGAAAAUGGAUCCAGACGAGAGAGCCAUUCCUAAUAAACUGCUCACUGAAUAAGUUUUGCAUUUACACAUUA